GUGAGUGUGCACAAGCAAAAGGCAGCAGAUUGUGCAGCUUUUUAUUUUCGAAAUGGUUUGUAACCAUUUUCAGUUAUUUUAAUUUCUCUGUUCAUUGUGGCAUGAUGGCAGAAACCAAUCCUUUUCAGAAUUUGCCAGGAAAGGAGUGUUUCAGUGAAGUGACUGAGCCUGCACAUUACAGACAAAGUUAAACAACUUGAGGAAGGAUUCAGAUGCAUAUAUUAUUGUGGUUCAUGCUGGACCUUGAAACCUGUACAAAUGUCUUGUCUCAGUCUCCGUAAGUAUCGAGAACAGAGAGAAAUGAAGGACAGAGGUGGACCAGCAUAACGACCUCCCACAUUACUGAGAAGAUGCUUGAGGAAGAAAACACACAAUGUCUGCCAAAUAAAAACCUGAGGUCUCUUGUGACCAGUGGGAGCUUUGGGGAUUGGAAUGUGUGGACAACAGCAAAAAAAAAAGCUUGUUUGAUGAUACCCAAAGCAUCAGCCUAAUUGGCUAAUGAAAAGAGCAGAAGAUACCAUUUCCAUGGUAAUAAGCAAGUUAUUACAUUGUUUAGUGAUUAAAAUUUCAG